rnacentral:rRNA from 1 species
GUCGAGAAUCUUUCACAAUGGGGGCAACCCUGAUGGAGCGACGCCGCGUGGAGGAUAAGGUCUUCGGAUUGUAAACUCCUGUCAUGCGUGAACAAGGUUGCUUGGUUAAUACCUGGGCAAAUUGAUGGUAACGCAAGAGGAAGAGACGGCUAACUCUGUGCCAGCAGCCGCGGUAAUACAGAGGUCUCAAGCGUUGUUCGGAAUCACUGGGCGUAAAGGGUGCGUAGGUGGCGUGGUAAGUCAGAUGUGAAAGCCCGGGGCUCAACCUCGGAACAGCAUCCGAUACUGCCAUGCUAGAGUACUGGAGAGGUGACUAGAAUUCUCGGUGUAGCAGUGAAAUGCGUAGAUAUCGAGAGGAAUACCAAAGGCGUAGGCAGGUCACUGGACAGUUACUGACACUGAGGCACGAAGGCCAGGGGAGCGAACGGGAUUAGAAACCCGGGUAGUCC